GAGACUUACUGCUGACAGAGACCACUGAGCUUAGAAGAAGCUGAGUCUCUUUGUGUCUUAUCACAGCUGUAAAGAAUACCUCCCACAAACAAUGCAGGUGGCUUAAAACAAAGGACAUAGGCUCUUCUGCAGUUCUGGGACUAUUGAAGUCUGAAGGCAUACCCUUGGCAACUGGACAGUGUAACCCCGUAUACGGCUUCUAAAGGAAGAGUAAUGAGGACCAGGAGCGUUCCAAAGGAGAUGAGGAACCAUCUGUUGCUAAGGAAGAGUCACAACCUUUGCAAUCUGUUGAGCCAAGUUCGAAUCCCAGCACUGCCUCCUACUAAAGUGGAUGCUAUGGUUAGUGGGGUGUUCAGAGACAGAAUGUGUAUAGAAGACCACU
ensembl:processed_transcript Gm20033 predicted gene, 20033